rnacentral:rRNA from 1 species
AUUGAACGCUGGCGGAAUGCUUUACACAUGCAAGUCGAACGGCAGCACGGGGGCAGCCCUGGUGGCGAGUGGCGAACGGGUGAGUAAUACAUCGGAACGUGCCCGGUCGUGGGGGAUAACGUAGCGAAAGUUACGCUAAUACCGCAUACGAUCUGAGGAUGAAAGCGGGGGACCUUCGGGCCUCGCGCGAUCGGAGCGGCCGAUGUCAGAUUAGGUAGUUGGUGGGGUAGAGGCCUACCAAGCCGACGAUCUGUAGCUGGUCUGAGAGGACGACCAGCCACACUGGGACUGAGACACGGCCCAGACUCCUACGGGAGGCAGCAGUGGGGAAUUUUGGACAAUGGGCGCAAGCCUGAUCCAGCCAUUCCGCGUGCAGGACGAAGGCCUUCGGGUUGUAAACUGCUUUUGUACGGAACGAAAAGGCUCUGGCUAAUACCUGGGGCUCAUGACGGUACCGUAAGAAUAAGCACCGGCUAACUACGUG